rnacentral:lncRNA from 1 species
GAGGCUAAAGUGAGCCGUGCAGUGGAACUCAUGGUGGCUCAUGUGGAGAACCUGAAGGGCCAUCAUGUGAGGAACAGCAUUGAAUUGGAGGAGAUGAAGAAACAGAUGGAGAAAAGCAGCAGAGAGCGGCACGUCUGUGAGCAGAGGGAGGAAACUGAGGCUAUUGAAAAGCUGGAAAAAGACCUACAGAAGCCACAGUUACGGCGUAGAAUCAGUACAAACAUCAUUGCAAAGCAAAUCCAGAGGCAAAAAGUGAAGGAGUCAGAAGCUAUAUUAUCUUCAGUGACCAGUGAGAUUAGUGAAGAGAUCAAAUCAACCACAAAGAAACCUGACCACACAGAUGACUGCCAAAUGAAUAGAGGGCAAGAACCUCAAGAUGACAGUCCCUCACAAACUGUCACGGUGGAUGCUACUGAGAAGACAUCCUCCCAAAUUCAUCCCAAACAGACUCUGAGGCUUGAGCUGGACCCCACCUUUGUAAAAAAAAACACAAGUUCACUGCCAGUGUUACCUCAUCAAAGGCUGAGGAGGAAGGCAUCACUGGAGCACAGUCAUGCCUGGCUCAAGAGAUCUGAGAGCUACCUCCGAGACUGUAAUACAUGUGUCAGUAGCUUACGGCGCCCUCUUAUGCAGGGGAUGUAUCAUUGCCGCUGGAUAAUUCUUGCCAUUUACCUCACUGUUCUUUGCUCCAUCAUUAUAUUAGCCAUAUUAGUAUGGUUGCUGCAAACACCCAUCUUAUGGAUGUAAAAAUUAUAAUUAUAGAAUAUGUUAAAAGCACUGUUGAUAGCUUUUAGUUACCAUUUGCAAGACGUUUUAACUUUGUUUUAUGGGAAGCUAUUGCAUGUAUAGUUUGAAAUUAUCUCAGAAUAAAAUUCAUGCACUAGCACUCAUGUCAGUGUAUGCUCCAUAUCCGUUUUCUACAAUGUCAAUGUGAAAUAUUUUGAAAUGUGACAAAAAUGCACACAACAUAUUAUUGAGGAUCUGUGAUAUUGUUUAUUAAAGUGUAUUAUAAAUAAUACAAAAAUAUAUUUCAUAAUUAGUGUACAAACAGGAAGUAAACCAUCUGCAUUUGGUAUUAAAAAUCACAGAUGGAUUAUUCUUACAAUGCAUAUUACAGUAGCAGAGCAACACUUCUUGAAACAUUUCACUAAUUAAAAAAAAAAUGUUAGGAAAGGGGCCAUAUUAAUUCACAAAUAAAAAAUAAGAUAGAAAAAAUAAUAUAUUAAUUCAUAAUGUGUUAAAUUAAAUUAAAUCAUGGGGAAACUAAGACAUUAUAUAAUACUUUAAUUAUGAAGAAUCGUGUACCAGACACAAAUAUAUACGAAAUGAUGUCAUUUCCUUGUGGGCGUUCAUAUGCAAAAGGUGGGCCACACUCUCCUGACAGCAAUAAAAUCACUAUUAUAUUAUACAUUCAUCAUAAAUAUCUGGCAUGAUGCCUUUACAAGGAAGUCUUAGACUUUAAAUGUAAUCACAAAUGUAGGCAUAUAUGGAAUUGAGGCAUAUACUUCACUGGCUCAGCUCCAACUUGGUCAAAAAGUCUUGGUGAGAAUUAACAUCAUCAGACUACAUCAGUGAGUCCAUUGGCUCAAUAAAUAAAAAUAAAGAUGGUGUACAAUUAGAGUUCACUAAUUCUCGGUUUAAUUUCC